GAAUACUGACGUAAUCUUCCUUGUUUUUCAGUUAAAUUGACCAAGAAAGUAAAGGGCCCAACAGUAGAGGUAAAGGUAAAAGAUUCAAAGUACCAGAAAGAAAAAGAGAAGCCAGCUUUAACUAGAUCAAAGACAAUAUCUCCAGAAGAUGGAAAAAACGAAACUGAAACCCCGAAAGUUCUUGUGAAACCGGAGCAAACCGAAGGAGAGAAAAUGGAAUCUUCAACUGAAACCCAAAAGAAUGAAUCACCAGUAGAGAAAGUUGUAAAAUCUUGUACCUCUAGCAAUGACUGCCAACCAGGAUUAUGUUGCCAGAGUAAGAAGGAGAAAGCACCCAGAUGUCAAAAGGUUAAGUUAGGCCUAGGUCAGAGAUGUAAAGAAACUUGUAUGUGUGGAGAAGGACUUGUAUGCCAUUUUGAAGGGACUUCUCUUGAGAAGAAAAAGGUAAAUGGCAAGAAUCCAAUGGGCGUCUGUAAAGAACCAGAAACUGCCUCUCUUUAAUUACGUGUAUUGCACAAUUAAGGAGCUUCUGAAGCUAACUUUCUCUUCUUGAUGUUUAUUCUAAUUUAUUCAGACGUCAUGCUAACCUCUGCUGCAAUAGAUGUUCUUGAAAAAUUACCUAACCCAUAAUAUUGUAGAUCGUUUAUCUUGCCCCCAUCUAUCUACCCUUCACGUUCAACACUUACUCGUCAUUAGGGGGCGCUGUUAUUUACUAUAUUUAGCGCAAAAAUUGUUUUUUGUUAAUUUUAUAAAUGUUUAAAUAUUAGCUUAGAAACUUAAGUGUUCUAAUGUUAACAUCGAAUUUAAAUAUUGUAUUAAUCUCAAGCGAAUCAUGUUAUGAACUGUAAACUGUUUUAUAUGGUAAUUCUGUGCAAGUGUGAAUUAAAAUUUACUAUUAUCUUGUUUCCUUGACAGAUUUGAUGAUGAUAAUAACAAUAAAUGUGAAAGUUUAAAUUAAUAACAGUAUUUAUAGUUUCGUCGAGUACAUGGUAAUUCAUGGUGUUAAUAUAUUCAUUUACGUAAUCAUUAAAAUCUAAUUUUAAUAAAUAGUCCACGUUCAAUUAUGUACUUUAACACUUUUCGCACUUAAGUGUUACGAAAAAAGAUGGCUGGUAUUAUGUUCUCAAAAGUGCUUAUUUCAUAAAUCAGACCUAUGGAACGUUUCCAUGAUUCGGCGCGAAAAAUUCUAAACGUCGAAAAGAUGGCGACAAACAUUUAUACUUGUGGCUGUAUUUAGGCUACGAAUUUUACAUCUCACAGAAACCUAAUCUAGUUUGCUUAAUUGAUAAAUGACCCGUUUAGAUAAAUCAUCUGCGAAAAUAUUUUGAAGAGGAAUCUGAUGGUGCAUGAAAAUAAUCGACAUACUAAACUCUUCUUAACUGACAAAUUUAAACUUGGGGGUGCAUGAAAAUAAUCGACAUACUAAACUCUUCUUAACUGACAAAUUUAAACUUGGGGGUGCAUGAAAAAUAAUCGACAUACUAAACUCUUCUUAACUGGCAAAUUUAAACUUGGGGGUGCAUGAAAAUAA